ACUCAUUACAAAGUUAUUUCGUUUCCACUUGAGAGUUUCGUGGUGAGGUCGGAUGCAGGCUGCUGAAGUCUCAGUACUGCUCCUAGACGCAGGUGAAGGGACCCACAGGCUGUUUCCGUUGCUCUCCAGGGUUCUGCGGUUUAUACAAAGGUGCUCUGAACAUGCAGUUUUAACCUCUACUGAUUCAAGGACUCCGUCAUCAUCCCAUUUUCCAGGAACCGUGGGAAGGCUUAGAAUGGAUUGAAGCAUUCUUCCUCUUCCAGGACUUGGGAACCUUUUACAGUUAAGGGCACACAUUUUCCCUUUCUGAGAGAGGUGAGUGCUCAGGCAUAAAUCUUUUCAAGACUUCUUUGUAGAGGAAUGAUUGUUUUCACAUUAGAAUAAUAACAGUUCCAGGUCCAUUCUUCCACGUACUCUGUCCUGCUACAAACGUUGACCAACUGGCUAGCAACUGACAAAGCCUCUUAAUCUUCAUCAUCUGGGAGAAUUGCCCAAUGGGCAGCCCUAGAAGGGUUCAAGGACAAUUGGAGAAAGAAGAUACAGGCUAAAGACAGGAGAUGACACAAGCUGAUUUAUAUGGAGGAAUGCCAUAAUGUCAUCUUUUGGAAAGAGGGAGAGAGUGGUCUUUUGAAUCUGACCACAGAAGAAAAGACUGAAAAGAACAUGCCUGUACCUAUUUUCCAAGAUUUCUUUUGUCCUACAGUUCACUGGCUCCAAGCAAGGAAGAAGAGCAUGAAACAGAAGGAGAAGGGAAGGAAGAAAGGGAAGAAAGAGAGAUAGUGGUGGUGCUCAAUAUUGUAAAUCCCUUAGAGCAACAGAAUAAUUGACUUUGAGCUGUGGUAAAUAUAAAAUGUAAAUUUCCAUUAAGUCAUCUUGCAAACCUAGGAGGGCAUGCAUUUGGUAGUAUGCAUGUUUGUAUUUUGUAUGUUCCUGAAGUAAUAUGCAUCUUUUUGACUGUGUAUAUUUUGGCUAACAUAAAUCUUCCCUUUACCACAUAAGGAAAGAAUGAAAAUAAAGCAAGAAAAUAAAAAGAAACAAAGGGAGGUAAUUGGAUAAAAGGGUAGAAGAACAUUGACUCUGUAUGUAUACUUUGCUCGAUUCUAGUCCCAAGCCCAUCAACAGCUUUCACAUUAUUUAUAUCAUUACACUCUCUCUGUGCUACAGUUCCAACAAUAGGAAGUGAAAUAUGAAAUACUUGGUGAUUUCUAGUUGUAAAAUUAUUUUCUUUGGCAGUCAUUUGUGAUGACUGCAUUUGGAAAGCUCAGUUUAAUGUAUCACCAAAGAGUGGUGAAAAAUUAUGUGCUAGUCAUCUUACGUGGCCAUCACAGUUACUUUUAUUAUUAACCCUAUUAAAUGUAUGACAGUUCCAAUUUUAUUGAUUAGAAAACAAUGUUUGAGAAAAGCUAAAUAUGUUUUUCUUGGCAGUUGGCUCAAAGAUAAGGGAAAUGCACUGCUCUUUGAGAAGUCCCAGUAAUUUGUACAUUUCCCUAAGACAUUGAAGAAAAAUUCAUAUUAUAGAAAGCAAAAAGUAGUCUACUAAAGAUAAAAUUUAGUAAUAGUCAGAUUUUGUCUACCAGGGUUUUCAGACCUUCAUUUGGCUUACAAGUUCAGAAUUUUCCAAGAUACAUACAAGAUGAUAUUCUUACCAUGAGUCCAUUUUGGGAUUUGAGUCUAGGUCUUACUCGAAAUAUCAUGCUCGUUCUAUGAUAAGAACUGUUUUUGGGGCGACUGAGUGGCUCAGUCCGUUGAGCAUCCAACUUUGCUCAGGUCAUGAUCUCUCAGUUUAUGGGUUCACAGCCUGUGUUGGGCUCUGUGCUGACAGCUCAGAGCCUGGAACCUGAUUCAGAUUCUGUGUUUCCCUCUCUCUCUGCCCCUCCCCUGCUCCAGCUCUGUCUCUGUCUUUAAUCCUUAAAAAAAAGUUACAAACAUUAAAAAAGAUACUUAUAAGAACUGUUUUCAAUCUAUGUCAAACAUUCCACUAAUAACUGAUUCUAUUCCAUUUUUAAUAGUUUAACCAUUUGUAUAACUGAAAUAAAUACAUAACACUGGCUUAUCAAAUGUUAACACCAGCAAUGAGUCAAAUUAUUUUUGUGCCAAACUUAGUAUAAAUUUUCCUGCCAUCUUGGUAUACACACACACACACACA